AGUGAACGCUGGCGGUAGGCCUAACACAUGCAAGUCGAACGGCAGCACAGUAAGCGCUUGCUCUUACGGGUGGCGAGUGGCGGACGGGUGAGGCAUACAUCGGAAUCUACUUUUUCGUGGGGGAUAACGUAGGGAAACUUACGCUAAUACCUCAUACGACCUACGGGUUAAAGCAGGGGAUCUUCGGACCUUGCGCGAUUGAUUGAGCCGAUGUCGGAUUAGCUAGUUGGCGGGGUAAAGGCCCACCAAGGCGACGAUCCGUAGCUGGUCUGAGAGGAUGAUCAGCCACACUGGAACUGAGACACGGUCCAGACUCCUACGGGAGGCAGCAGUGGGGAAUAUUGGACAAUGGGCGCAAGCCUGAUCCAGCCAUACCGCGUGGGUGAAGAAGGCCUUCGGGUUGUAAAGCCCUUUUGUUGGGAAAGAAAAGCAGCAGGUUAAUACCCCGCUGUUCUGACGGUACCCAAAGAAUAAGCACCGGCUAACUUCGUG
rnacentral:rRNA from 1 species